rnacentral:rRNA from 1 species
AGUGAACGCUGGCGGUAGGCCUAACACAUGCAAGUCGAACGGCAGCACAGUAAGAGCCUGCUCUUACGGGUGGCGAGUGGCGGACGGGUGAGGAAUACAUCGGAAUCUACUUUUUCGUGGGGGAUAACGUAGGGAAACUUACGCUAAUACCGCAUACGACCUACGGGUGAAAGCAGGGGAUCUUCGGACCUCGCGCGAUUGAAUGAGCCGAUGUCGGAUUAGCUAGUUGGCGGGGUAAAGGCCCACCAAGGCGACGAUCCGUAGCUGGUCUGAGAGGAUGAUCAGCCACACUGGAACUGAGACACGGUCCAGACUCCUACGGGAGGCAGCAGUGGGGAAUAUUGGACAAUGGGCGCAAGCCUGAUCCAGCCAUACCGCGUGGGUGAAGAAGGCCUUCGGGUUGUAAAGCCCUUUUGUUGGGAAAGAAAAGCAGCAGGUUAAUACCCCGCUGUUCUGACGGUACCCAAAGAAUAAGCACCGGCUAACUUCGUG